UCCGCAGGUGGCCUUGUAAGUCUGUCGUUAAAGCGCGGAGCUUAACUCCAUUUCAGCGAUGGAAACUACAAGGCUAGAGUGUGGUAGGGGCAGAGGGAAUUCCCGGUGUAGCGGUGAAAUGCGUAGAUAUCGGGAAGAACACCAGUGGCGAAGGCGCUCUGCUGGGCCAUCACUGACACUCAUGGACGAAAGCCAGGGGGAGCGAAAG
rnacentral:rRNA from 1 species